rnacentral:rRNA from 1 species
GAACUGAAGAGUUUGAUCAUGGCUCAGAUUGAACGCUGGCGGUAGGCCUAACACAUGCAAGUCGAGCGCGAAAGUGCCUUCGGGCGCGAGUAGAGCGGCGGACGGGUGCGUAACGCGUAGGAAUCUGCCUGGUAGUGGGGGAUAACUCGGGGAAACUCGAGCUAAUACCGCAUACGCCCCACGGGGGAAAGCGGGGGACCUUCGGGCCUCGCGCUAUCAGAUGAGCCUGCGUCGGAUUAGCUAGUUGGUAGGGUAAUGGCCUACCAAGGCGACGAUCCGUAGCUGGUCUGAGAGGAUGAUCAGCCACACUGGGACUGAGACACGGCCCAGACUCCUACGGGAGGCAGCAGUGGGGAAUAUUGGACAAUGGGGGCAACCCUGAUCCAGCC